UUGACGACGAAGAAGAAUAUGAUAAGUUUGAUGACAUCCCCCCUUUCUCAAUCCCAAAUGACGAUAUGAUGAAUGUGAUUGAUACUGAAAAUAGUUACAUGCGAAUGGAUCACCAAGAAGGUAUAACAGUCAUUGAGCAACCUAUUGACCAAAAUUAAAGAUAUGGCUAGUGACGAUUCGAGCGAGCAUUCAUCGGAUUCUGAUGCCCCUUUUCACCCAGAAAAGGAGCCUGACCAGGGAGAGGCCAGUGAUCGUGAGGCAGAUGCGUUAGAUGCGUUAGAUGCAUGGAUGGAGAGAUUUGAGCUAGAGGCUGAUAGGAAUGCCUUACUUGGCAUUGAGGUGACAGGUGAUGGGCAGCCACCCCCGUCAGGUUCAGGUCAGACCACUACAUAUUAUGGUGCACAGGGAGCGGGAAGAAGUAAGUGGGAAUCCAAAGGCAACACGAAAGAGUAAACGAGGCCCACGAUGAAUCUCCACAACACAAGAGAUAUGGUCUUAGAGUUCGAUGAUUUGGGAAGACCAACAGGUCCAUGGCGAGCCAAGUAUGGUGUUUGGAUCGGUCUUUCUAUACGGAAGCUGAACAUCAACUGGUCAUAGAGACACAUUUCUCCUACCUUGUUGGAUGUGAUGUGGACAGACACUAUGAACAUGUUUCACCUUCCCGACGAGGUUCGAUACAAGAAGCUCUACUUGUCUGCUCUGAACGUUAGAUGGAGGGAUGUUAAGAGCAAAUUGGUAUCUGGCUGGAUAACAAUGACGAGAGUUAGAUCAAAGAAAGAGAAGUUAGGUGAUAGUCCGCUUGACGUAUACAAGCACAUCAAGAAGGAGGAUUGGGCCACUUUCAAAGAAAAGAUGAUGUCAUAUCAUGAAAAAGCGAGAAAAGGCGCUUGAGAGCCAAAGAGAAACACAUCAUCACCACUUAGGUCAGAGGAGUUAUGGAGAUGCUAGAGAGUUGUGGAGGCAGGAGAAAUUCGGUCCACCUAGUUUUGAUUCUGGAUCGUCUUCUAGUACACCAUCCUCCUCGGUGUCUCCAGUUUUAACCGGGGUGAUGAUUGGUGGUGCGCGAUGCAUAAGAAAGAUCCUGUUACUAAACAGAGAUUCAUUCCAGAUGAGGAAACAAAGAAAGCAGCUGACAAAUACGUAUUUGGAGUACAAGGAGAAGCAAGCCAAGGGUGAGUUCAUUCCGGUUCGUAACAGAGACGCCCUUUUAUGGCUCUUGGAGAGAAGCCAGAUCAUCCGGGUCGCUGUUACGGUUUUGGGGGUGUUAAUGUUGGCUAUACCAAGGCUUUUGGACACGUACCUCGUACGCACUAUAGGAGAUCGAUGAAGGAACAAGAGGAGGCACUCAUACAGAAAAUGAGUGAAAGGUGGAGGGAGGACAUUGCCACAUAUAUGCAGAAUGUGAUGAUUUCACCUUCACAUCCAUCUACCGGGCCAUAUUCUUCACCAUCUGGUGGGCCAUCUCCUUCUCAUGUACAGCCACCUACUCAGUC